rnacentral:rRNA from 1 species
AUUGAACGCUGGCGGCAGGCCUAACACAUGCAAGUCGAGCGGCAGCGGGAAAGUAGCUUGCUACUUUUGCCGGCGAGCGGCGGACGGGUGAGUAAUGCCUGGGAAAUUGCCCAGUCGAGGGGGAUAACAGUUGGAAACGACUGCUAAUACCGCAUACGCCCUACGGGGGAAAGCAGGGGACCUUCGGGCCUUGCGCGAUUGGAUAUGCACAGGUGGGAUUAGCUAGUUGGUGAGGUAAUGGCUCACCAAGGCGACGAUCCCUAGCUGGUCUGAGAGGAUGAUCAGCCACACUGGAACUGAGACACGGUCCAGACUCCUAUGGGAGGCAGCAGUGGGGAAUAUUGCACAAUGGGGGAAACCCUGAUGCAGCCAUGCCGCGUGUGUGAAGAAGGCCUUCGGGUUGUAAAGCACUUUCAGCGAGGAGGAAAGGUCAGUAGCUACUGUCUGCUGACUGUGACGUUACUCGCAGAAGAAGCACCGGCUAACUCCGUGCCAGCAGCCGCCGUAAUAC